rnacentral:rRNA from 1 species
GUCUACGGCCAUGCUACCCUGAUCAAGCCCGAUCCCGUCUGAUCUCAGAAGCUAAGCAGGUUCGGGCCUGGUUAGUACUUGGAUGGGAGACCACCUAGGAAGAGCAGGUGUUGUAAGCA